AGAGGAAUAGUUUAAUUGGUAAAACAAUGGUCUCCAAAAUCAUCGAUACGGGUUCAAGUCCCGUUUCUUCUG
rnacentral:tRNA from 1 species